rnacentral:rRNA from 1 species
GAUGAACGCUAGCGACAGGCCUAACACAUGCAAGUCGAGGGGCAUCAGGGUUGAAGCUUGCUUCAACUGCUGGCGACUGGCGCACGGGUGAGUAACACGUAUGCAACCUGCCCGUCACAGGGGGAUAAUCAGGGGAAACUCUGUCUAAUACCCCAUAUAAUCAUUGUAUCGCAUGAUGUGAUGAUGAAAGCUUUGGUGGUGACGGAUGGGCAUGCGGCGCAUUAGCUGGUUGGCGGGGUAACGGCCACCAAGGCUACGAUGCGUAGGGGUUCUGAGAGGAAGGUCCCCCACACUGGUACUGAGACACGGACCAG